rnacentral:rRNA from 1 species
UACGUAGGGGGCGAGCGUUGUCCGGAUUCAUUGGGCGUAAAGAGCUCGUAGGCGGUUCAGUAAGUCGGGUGUGAAAUCUCCGUGCUCAACACGGAGCGGCCACCUGAUACUGCUGUGACUCGAGUCCGGUAGGGGAGUGUGGAAUUCCCGGUGUAGCGGUGAAAUGCGCAGAUAUCGGGAGGAACACCAGUAGCGAAGGCGGCACUCUGGGCCGUGACUGACGCUCAUGCACGAAAGCGUGGGGAGCAAACAGG